GAUUUUAUUCAUAUUUUUUUAACUUUCUAUAUUACAGUUGGGAAUUUUGGUUUGAUUCCAGCCAUUGGUUUCAAGUGAGUUAUUGAUUAAGGUUACAUGUGGCAAGACGGGUCAAAAUAUUUUUUUAGAAUAAAAUUACUUGCAACGUUUAUGUAGGGAUACUUGAAAAUUAUAGAUUACACAAGCAAAGUUCCUGAUCGAAACUGCAAUCCUGAUUAAAAAAAAGUUUUCAAAUAGGGAUGUUCAUUGCUUUUAGCCUUUCUGUAUUAUUAUCCAUUUGGCUCAUGUUCAUGUAAAACAAACUUCAGUCGUCCCAUGGUACAACUUCAAGAUAAUGCCCCUUCUUUAGUAAAAUUCCAAAUCAUCUACAAGAUAAUACUCCAAUUGUUCAAACUUAAGUUUUGAAAGCUUUGAUGCAAAUAAUAUAAAUACUGUCAUAUUGGGUUAUCGAGACCAUCUGUUGACCAUUCUGAAACUAGGUACAAUUUGUUCCAACUGAAGUCUUGAAGGUUUUAAGAUGUAUCACAUUAAACUUCAUCACUACCCUUGGUCGGACAUGUGGGCCAUUCAAGCUUUGAUAGCUAUUCAGAACCCUCUACCACUUGAACAAUUUAUAGAAGCUACAGGUCGUCUCAAGAUCUACAUGUUAUGGUACUUUGGUCAAGUUUUUGUGUUUUAAGAUGUCAAGCAUUUCCAAGUUGAUAUGGAAUCAUACAACAUAAGAGAACCAUUAAGUCAAGAAAGGAACGAUGGGAAGUUUAGGUAACGUAUUUGGAGAACAAUUGAGCGGGUAUCACGGUGUUCGGAUUUAUGCUGGAUAGGACUUCAUUGCACACUAAGAUAACCAAGGUAAGUUGGUUUUUAGGGAUGUUUUUUGGUUGCAAUGUGUCGAAAACUCCUUUCUGCAUUUGCGGCUCCUUAUUACCCAUUCGAGUGGUCUACGUGGGUUCCGAAGAAGGUUGAUGUUCUCUGUUUGAGAGCAGAGCAAAACCGACUCUCAACUUUAGAGGGCUUGCAUUGAAGGAACCUUGUAUGGGGUUCGAUAAAGUGUCGUUUGUGUGGAGAAUAUACAGAGACGUCACACCUGUUCUCCUCAUGUUUCAUAGCAGCAAACUUAUGAAGUAAAGUAAGCUAAUGGUGUGAAAUUCCGCCAAUCUUUGCUUUCACUUUUAAAGACCUACUGCAAGCGGUAAUUCUCACCACCUGCUGGUCAUAUGGAAGGGCGAAACGGACUUAUUUUUUCACGCAGAAGAGUUAUUCUUGAGCAGCUGCUAAGCGAGAUCAAAACAAUGUCAUUCAUGUGGGUCAAAAAUCGAGCGAAGCGUAUUGAGGUAGAAUGGGACAACUGGCGAAGAUUCGAGGUUUCAAAUGUUUUGCUUUGUCCAUUUGCAGUAGGAAGUAAUGUUGUACAGCCAGUAUGCUUCAGUAUGGUACGAUAUCGGUACUGUAUUGUUGUCAAAUCAACGCCACCUGAUUUGAUGGAGGAAGCAGGGAAACUCAAGUUUGUAUGCUUAUCGAAUGAUAAUAUUGAUGAACAUAUGAUGUGAUCUUUAGUGAUGGCCGUAGCCAGAAGUUCUAGAUGGCUUAGAGAAACAGUAAAUGUUGUUUGUCGGGGGACACCUUAAUCCUUGAUAAAAGUAAAAAAAAAAAAAAUAGAAUUUUUUAUAUUUCUAUGCAUUUUAACUGUAUUUUCACUUUGUCAAUAAGUAAUUUCUGUAAUAAAUAUGUCACUUUGUUUGUAUUUA